UACGGGGGUGGCAAGCGUUGUUCGGAAUUACUGGGCGUAAAGGGCGCGUAGGCGGGGAGGUAAGUCGGGUGUGAAAUCCUACAGCUUAACUGUAGAACUGCCUCCGAUACUGGUUGUCUCGAGGAAGGUAGGGGCGUACGGAACAGUUGGUGGAGCGGUGAAAUGCGUUGAUAUCAACUGGAACUCCGGUGGCGAAGGCGGUACGCUGGACCUUUUCUGACGCUGAGGCGCGAAAGCCAGGGGAGCAAACGGG
rnacentral:rRNA from 1 species